rnacentral:rRNA from 1 species
CUCCAGACUCCUACGGGAGGCAGCAGUGGGGAAUAUUGGGCAAUGGGCGCAAGCCUGACCCAGCAACGCCGCGUGAAGGAAGAAGGCUUUCGGGUUGUAAACUUCUUUUGUCAGGGACGAAGAAAGUGACGGUACCUGACGAAUAAGCCACAGCUAACUACGUGCCAGCAGCCGCGGUAAUACGUAGGUGGCAAGCGUUAUCCGGAUUUACUGGGUGUAAAGGGCGUGUAGGCGGGACUGCAAGUCAGAUGUGAAAUUCCAGGGCUCAACCCUGGAACUGCAUUUGAAACUGUAGUUCUUGAGUGAUGGAGAGGCAGGCGGAAUUCCGUGUGUAGCGGUGAAGUGCGUAGAUAUACGGAGGAACACCAGUGGCGAAGGCGGCCUGCUGGACAUUAACUGACGCUGAGGCGCGAAAGCGUGGGGAGCAAACAGGAUUAGAUACCCUGGUA